UACCCAUCAGCACCUUCAGUUCUCUGGGAAUCCAGCCAGUAUGGGGUGAGGCAGAGGAACUGGGUGCUGGACAACUCACUGGGCUGCCAAUUUCUGAUGUCUUUACAGGUGAAUAUUUGGCCACCUGGUUCAUGGUUAGCUUAGCUGGAAUUUCCAGAUCAAACGACAUAGAGUUCUGUGACAAGAUCACAGGGCUAGGCUCGGUCUCCACGUCCCAGGGACUGCUGCUGACUUCCACCUCCGGCUCCUGGCACCCAGCACCUGCUUUUUACUAAAUGGCCUCUAAGUUGUAAACACCAAGAAAGUCGAUCUUGCUAUCAGGAGUUUUCUGUAUUCUGGUGUCCUGAAGAUGUUAUCAGUGUGUCAGCGCUCCUGCUCAGGAAUGCUCAGCUUCCCCCAAGUUUACUGGCCUGUUUACCCGCGUUCCCUCUUCUCGGAGUUAGGAGAGAGGGCAGUCUGAGGGGGAAGAAGACCAGGCCCAAGAACUUAUCAAACACACCAGAUCACACUGCCAUGUCUACCACAGUGGAUGUGCUGGCACAGACCUCUGUUCUAGUAAUCAGGAGGCAGAUGUAGACAGAGGCUGGGAGCUGAAGUCAGCCUGCCCUACAAGACAGCCAGGGCUACGUAGUGAGACUCCAGAGAGGGGGUGGAGGGAAAAGACGGAAGGUGACAGACAUCUGCCUCUGAGAUAGAGCGGCUCCACCCUGCCAUCUGGCCUCCUGGCAUAUGCGUUAAGGGACUGACACUGAGAAGCUCAUUUACUUGGCUUUUCCUCACUGAUGGCUUGGUCGCCUGGAGUCUCCAUUCAUUGCUCUGCCCCUUUGGGUUAGGGUUCUGUACUCUACAACCCCCACAGUACUCCCCUGACUUCCAGAACUCAGUCCCUGGACUCGGCUCAAGCCCGUGGCCCCGAGGCAGCACACACAGAAUGCUCUCUUUUCUUUUCAGCUGAUUUUCAACAGUACCCAUUAUCUAACUCCCGCCAAUCCUCUCUGCAUCUCUGUUAGCUUUCUGCCUGCCUCUAGAAAGUUUUCUCUGAACUUUAGCUCUUCUGCAGCCUCACACACACACAUACAGAGAUAUAUUUACUGUGUGAUAUGCAAUACAUAUUCUGAGAAUUAAGAUUAGUGAUUAAGAUUGGAAUAAAAUCAUGUGUUUGCCAAUAGCCAACUAAGGGAAACUUGGACUGUUUGGAGAACUGCUGCCAAUAAAAUUCAUAUGGUUUGUGAA